GACGAACGCUGGCGGCGUGCCUAACACAUGCAAGUCGAGCGGGGUUGAGGCGAGAGGUAACUCGAGCUUCUACCUAGCGGCAGACGGGUGAGUAACGCGUGGGCAACCUGCCUCAAGGUUUGGGAUAACAGCCCGAAAGGGCUGCUAAUACCGGAUAUGCCUAUGGCCUCGCAUGGGGCUAUGAGCAAAGGGGAAACCCGCCUUGAGAUGGGCCCGCGUCCCAUCAGCUAGUUGGUGAGGUAACAGCUCACCAAGGCGACGACGGGUAGCCGGCCUGAGAGGGUGACCGGCCACACUGGGACUGAGACACGGCCCAGACUCCUACGGGGGGCAGCAGUGGGGGAUCUUGCACAAUGGGCGAAAGCCUGAUGCAGCGACGCCGCGUGGAGGACGAAGCCCUUCGGGGUGUAAACUCCUUUUCUCAGGGAAAAAGGAUGAUGGUACCUGAGGAAUAAGCCCCGGCUAACUACGUG
rnacentral:rRNA from 1 species